CCUGCUGAGAGUCAUUUCCUGUGCUGGAUUUACCAUCACAGGGACCAGAUUUAUAGAAAAAUGAACAUGUAUUGUUGCUAAAUGGAGUUGGUCAUGGAGUGGAAACUAACAAUAUGUUCACCUUAGAAAUGUGCUACAACCACUCAAGGUCUGCAAACAGAUUCCUAUUUAGAUGUUGUUGAGAGUUUCGUUCUUGUCGCCCAGGCUGGAGUGUCAUUUUAAC
rnacentral:lncRNA from 1 species